rnacentral:misc_RNA from 1 species
UACUGUUAGGGCUACUACCUAACACAAAAUUAGGAUCGAAAAGCCAUAAACAAGCAGCUAUCAACCUGUUCAUGCAACUUGGUUUAUUUGCUAACUGAGAAUGUAGGGGCUUCUUGAAGUCUUUAGUUAAACUAUUCUAACAUUAUUAUCUGCCCUUUCAUUAGUACGGUGAUGCAGAUCAUAUUCCUAGAGAUUUUAGGAAUACUUAUUUUAGAAAGAAAUAUAGAAAGUAGAAUCUAUUGGGAUUUGUGAUUGUGUAGUCCCAAUUAGAUUAGGAUUCCUAAUCCUAGUGUUUCUAGGGUUAUACAAACACUAUAAGCCUAAGUAUUUUACAGAAUUUUCAGAUUUUUGUUAUGACAAUUUUAUGAGA